UAAAUUUUCAGAAGGAAUGAAGAUGAGAGGCGCGAAGCCUGACAUUAACGGCUCCCAGAAAAUGUUGAGUAAAGAGGAUGAAGAUCUAAAGUGGGUUGAGGAGAACAUUCCUACUACUGUUGCUGAUGUAGCUCUCCCUGUAAUGCUAGAUGAGGAAGAAGAAAUCUUGAAAACCAAGAUGGAGAGGUCCAAAAUGGAGUAGAAGACGAUCUGAGAGUGAAAAGAGAGGAAUUCAACUGAGGCAGCAAUGAGUGAUCUGAUUACCAAAAAUGUUGGGGGGAUGCAUAUCUGUUCUUUUGUCAGACACUUUUUAAAAAAAACUUUUAUUUCACAGGUUUUGGGUAACACUACAGUAAGCUCUUAUAUUAACGCCAUACUGUGCAACCCGGAGUGACUGGGUCGGCUGCUGAUGGCAUUCUGGGAUAAAAUACAAGAAGCAGUUAUAUAGUAUAGCAUUUAUAUUUAUAACUAUUUUAUUUGUUGAACAAAAUGAAGGAGAAGCUGAUUCUGUUACACAAGGCGCUAGUUAUCGGGAGAUUUGUGAAAAUUUUCUUUUCUUUUUUUGUUUUGUUUUGUUUUUUUUAAAGACUAUUAUAAGUAUUUAAUGAAACGUGAUAUCCAGUGCAAGGGAUAGAUGAUCAAAAUAUUUGGCAAAAGCUCCACCCACUUCAGACUGCACAGAUAACUCCUGGACGGGUCAGAGUUGUAGGAAUGUGAGGUCCUUUUUGGAACACAGUCAGGUAUGACUCGUGAUGCCUGGCCAUCAUCAAAGCCAAGAAGUCGGAUGAUGCUACAAAUGGAAGAUAAUGAACAUAACUGAAAACAUUAAAGUAGUUUCAUAAUAGGAUUAUAUUUAAGCCAUUGCAGCAUCUUAAUGAACAGUAGGUUAUCUUCAGUGCUGUGCCAUAUAUGUAAAAAAGAUGCGUUGUUACAUUACAUAUUUAUUUGAUCACACGAUUUAAUAUUUACAUGUGCAAGUAACUCUAUUGUACAAUUAGCCAUUUAGCCAGACAGCUAAAAGCAAAUGUUUUAAUGCUUAACCAACAAAUAUGUGUGUUUAAUUGUUAACACAUUAUUACUGUAGUGUCUGGCUAACUGGGUCAUUUUGAAUAUCAAAAUAGUUAAGCCACUGUUAAAAUCUGUCAUGUUGAUACUUGAAGGAUAUCACCGUCGUCCAGAAAAUAAGCCACAUCUGUUGAUCUGGGAUCAUAUAAUGAUAGAUAUGGAGCUAUAUCAAUGCAAAGAGUUAACUGUAAUAAAACCGUGUGAGGUGUGUUCAUUUUGUAGACACAUGCCAGAUCAUUUCUUCAGGAUGUCGUCCACACACUGAUCAGUUUAAGCGAGUUGAAAUUUGACUAUAUUUAAUUGGUUAAUAAACGUAGAAAAAGUAAAAUCCUGUUUGUAAGCAUUUGUAGUAAAAUUAAGCCUGCUUUAUUUUAAUUUUUAUGAAAAGUAACUUUUUUUUAUAGUUUUGAUUUCAUAUAAUAGAUCUAGAAACACUAGAUAUUGCAGUCACCAAAGUGAACACUUUUUUUCUAGCCACUGAAUAACGAACCUGGAUAGCUAAAAAAUAUACAUGUAAUUUAGUGUGUGCUCUCCGACCCCCUCCACCAACAGGUCCAGAGUUUUAUUUAGAUUCUCUGUUUACUUUAGUAGCACAGGGGAGUAUCAGUUCACCAUUAUUACAGAUUUCUCUGACCCUUUCCCAGCUACGCUCAAAAAUAGCCUUAUCUGGAAUAAUUCCUCAUCUUUGUGUGAUCUACUGCAGUAUGUGUGGAUAAUUUUAAAGCUCUGAACUAUGUUUGUUUUUUUUCUAUUUGUCUAAAUCUUAUUGACAAUAUUUUAUUUCAGAGAGACACUAAAACCCUGUGUCUGGAUUUGAGUCUGCAUUGUAUUGUGAAGCUGAUAAUAUUGUAUGGCUUUUUGCGUAUGUCCUGCAAAUAAAUUUAUAUUGAAA